AUUCCAGCUCCAAUAGCGUAUAUUAAAGUUGUUGCAGUUAAAACGCUCGUAGUCGGAUUUCGGGGCGGGCCGACCGGUCUGCCGAUGGGUAUGCACUGGCCGGCGCGUCCUUCCACCCGGAGACCGCGCCUACUCUUAACUGAGCGGGCGCGGGAGACGGGUCUUUUACUUUGAAAAAAUCAGAGUGUUUCAAGCAGGCAGUCGCUCUUGCAUGGAUUAGCAUGGGAUAAUGAAAUAGGACUCUGGUGCUAUUUUGUUGGUUUUCGGAAAUCGACUUAAUGAUUAAUAGGGACAGUCGGGGGCAUUUGUAUUCAAACGAUAGAGGUGAAAUUCUUGGACCGUUUGAAGACAAACUACUGCGAAAGCAUUUGCCAAGAAUGUUUUCAUUG
rnacentral:rRNA from 1 species